AAUGUUAUUAUUUUAGUAGGAGCUAAGAAGUUCUGCAGUGUGAAGUCUGAGCAGACACCUGAGUUAUGAACAAUAUGGGGUUGGUGUUGCUCUUAACAAAUUGCCGAUUUAAAGAGAUUAGUAUUACAAAUGCAAGCUUUGAAAUUUGAACAGGUACAUGGUUUUAAGCACAUGAAUACUCUCUGAAGUUAACAGAAACAUUUUUAUGAUUGAGCACGUGGCAUAUAUUCCACCUUUUGUCACACUGGAAUUCUAGCCUGCAGAACAAACGUUUUGGUCUUUUAAUGAAAGUUACUGAGGAAAAGUAAAUAUUCUUGGCUGCAGAUUAGUUCACAUCUAGUUCUUCAUGACUACAUGCUCCAAAAAAAAUUGCAAACAAAGUUGCGCUGACAUGUUGAGACUACUUUUCAUCAUGCAGAGAUCUGAAAUUACUUUCUCCCUACAGCAGGUCCUGAAAACUGUAAAACAGCACUGAAUUUAUAGCAUAAGACUAGCUGCUUUGCAGCCUGUCUGCUUUACAGAGAAAAUAUGAGUUUGCCUUAACAGAUGAGCAUAUUUAUGCAUGGAGAGUGAUUAUGUUGAUCACUUAAGACUUGAUCUCUUACAGCUUGGAAAUCUGAAGGUGUAAACUCUUUGCAAGCCAAUUUAAAUGUUAAACUAGCCACCUAGACACAUGACUGUGCUCAGUCAUGUAUCCCCUAUGGCAUGCCAGGGAAGAAAGAAGUCACGUAAAGGCUUAAGUAUGAUAUUAAAAUCAGACAAGACCAUUUCAAACUUCCGGAAUUGCCUCACAAAGCAUGGGAAAACCAGGCCAAACAGUUCAGAAAUGGAAUAUAUUACACUGAAAUGAAACAAUGAAAUGGAGCAUUAUAAUGAGAUCAACACCAAGCAGCCUAGUUAUCCUUAUAUCUACCUCCCAUAAUUUUGUUAUACACUAGUGAUGUUUCACUCAAGUUAUGCUGGUCUGAAACAUCAGUAGCAAACCAAACAUAAUUUCUCUCUCUUGGAUGGUACCAAGUUCAUUGUUACAAACACAUUAGCAUCCAGUUCAAUAAAUAGCUGAACACUGUACUUUUCAAAGACUAGACAGCCAUAUGACCAAGCAAAAAUAAAUUAUACUAUCUUCAAUUCUUGAAUCAACCUGUGGCAAUUGGACAGAUCAAUACAAUGGGAAAAAGGUGUUUCACCAGAGACGUAAUAACAGAAUGACUGCCACAAUAGAAAGGUGCCUUAAGGGAAGGAAAGAAGAUUGUUCACCCAUAUCAAAAGAUUCCAGAUUCACAGGAGAAAGCUCCACCAAAGUGGAAUCUCCAGAAAGAGAUUAGGGUUAGGGUAAGGGUCAGCCCUUAAACGGGGUCUGAGAGAGGUGCAGCCAGGCUCCACCCCUUCCAGUCACACAGCUGAAUUGCCUUCACCUGUGCUCCCAGGGCUGAGCCGGUCCUUUCCCCAGGUGCUCAAUCAGUGGUUCAGGCCAUGACUCAACAGUCCCCAUACACAGUCAAAUAUGCAUGUAAAUGUAUACUGCAGCUAUUCAUAGAGCCAAAUAAGCUUAUCUCUGACUCAUUCAUGGAAGCAGUUGAGUUAGCAGACAAGUCAGGUGUUCUCUGUGACACAGUAUUAAUGGACUCUGGAGUAAAAACAUCACUGGCAAAACAGGAAAGAGUUCGCAAACACAUUGAUGGAAGAGGCACUAAAAACACAGAUCUAAGAACUAAUUCUGAACCACAUUAAAGCUCCACAGCAGAGACAUACUCAGAGCCAACUCAUCCAUCGAGCCAGCUCACAAACAUAGUACUACCAAUAGCGUAGGAUCAGAAAUAACAAAAUUCAGCUACUCUUUUCAUCUUUUACAUCAUUUAUGCCAGCUCUGCAGCAGAAAGGUAGAGAGGCAACAGUGGGGACCUGCCCAGUGAUAAUGGCUAACAUUUGCCAGCUGUCUCUACCCAGGAUCUGAAGCGAGCACCAAGUAACUUUCCUUUCUUAGCCUAGAAAACCUGACCCUGUCAAUCUACAGAUCUAGGAGGAAAGGCAUGCUGGUUUAUCUCAGAGCACUUCUUCUGAACGAACGCCAGAAAAUUAAAGUUAUUGCAGGAUCAUUGUAUUUUAAGUAAGCAGACUUGUAUUCUGAAAGGCAGGGAUAGCAUGAGAGUUUUGAGAUGAAGCUGCCUACACAGAUUCUUUCCUCUCCAGUCAGAAAUAGCAUCAACAGAACCAGGGUCAGAUUCUUUCCUAAGCAUGAAUUGAUGGAACUAGAAUAGUAAAAGGAAAUAUUCUAAAGUGAUAGGAAAGUACAAUUUUUAGGAGAAUUAAAUUCUGUAAGAUCUGCUAUAUAAACUCAGUUCUGUGGAAUACAACAGACAGAACUUAGAGAAAUAUUAGCUUCAUGGAGCUGCAGUUUUAGUUUACUUAAAGAUGGCGAGAAAGCAAUUAUUAUAUUAGAGAAAGUAGUCCUAUGUCUUUCUUCCCCUUUCUCUAAAAAUACAGCUGUUUCAUCAUAAUUGUGUUUAUCUGAAUGACAUGAUACGAUUGUAUUUUUAUCGAGUGAACACAUGAAUCCAACAAUGAUAAAUGAAGAAAAGCUGUAGAGGAAAAUGUCCAUAAUCCACAAAUUGUUUAUCCAUCUUCUAAAAAAGGGCAGAAUAAUCAAAUUAUUCUCAUAAUUAAAUAUAAAUUCUAUACUACAGAUCAGUUUUUCUAACCUUUUAGCAGAGUUACACCACUCACUCAGACUUUUUUUUACUCUUUCUAUACUGAAAACAUUAGUUAUCUUAUUAGUGCUAGUAUACUGUUCUCUCAAAGGUGCACCACUAAGCAUUAGAGAUGCACAGUAAAAUGUUUUCCUGUCAUACAAGCAUUUUAGAUUUGAAAUCUCCCCUUCCAGAUGAGAACAGACUAUGCAUAUCUUAAGUUCUGAAGCAGAAGUAACCUCCAAACAAUCAGUUUGGUUAAGGUGAAAAAUUUUGCUUGGAUAAAAUUAACGAGAAAUGUUUUGGGGUUGACAUUCAAAUAUUCAAAUUUUUAAAAAUACACAGAAAAUGUAAGAGAAAAAGUUAUUUCACACCAAGAAAUAGAACCUAGAUGCCAAUAAAAAGAGCUUUGAUGACUUUAAAACUUUAAAGUAGAUAUGGUGAAUUUUGUCAGAACAGAUCUUUUUCCCCAUAUAUUUCAGAUUGGGGAACAGCUUGGUUAUAAAAGUAUUGCCCAUUUUUCACAACAAAAUUUUCUUUUAAAAAAAGUCUUACUGACCUUAGAGAUGGCCAAUCUAUUCAGCAAAUAGCUGUGCUGAAGUGAACAGGAAUAAAUCAUUGAGUAAAAUUGCAAGAUCAAACCUCUGAAUUAUAUGAAUCAUUUAAUCUUACUGAAUAUUGGAAAUUGCAGGACACCAAUUGUAGUUGUUAGCUGCACGCAUGGGAGAUGUAUUUUAUCAAAAAUGAUAUUAAGAAACUGGGGACCAAAAGUUCAUAUAGUUCUAGAAAACAAAAAUAUUUCAGAGAACUCACUUAAAAAUUAUUGUAAUAUGAAUAAUCUAUUCAAUAAACAUGUAACACUAUUAUUCUUAUAAUACAGAUAUAUUUUUGAAGAUUUAAGAAGAAAAUAUUAAUAGACGGCCAGCUGAUAUGGAUAAAUCUUUCCCAAGUUUCAGGUGUGAAGCUAUUUGCAACAAAAAGGUAACAUUUCAUCUGCAGAUAGAAAGUUCAGAGAAAAUGAUUUCAGUACCUAAGGAAGAUGAGACAGCAGAGACAUUCUUUUGUUAUCAGUCACUACUAGAGAGCAAGUAAUUAAUUUAUUUAAAAAAAUAAUAACAAAAAGCAGUAAUUACUGCAAGUACAGAAGUGGAUGUAUAAUCAUCCAUUUGUUAGAAACAAGCAUGUGAAUUUCCACAUCAGCCUGGAAAUACCUCUUCCUUUGAUUACUUAAUCUGCUCUGAUUGAGUUCUCUGUCAGUUCCACCUGUGAAGAUAAAACUUCAUUGCUUUUCCAGUCUUUUACCUCUGACUGUUUCUUUUGAUUCUACCCCGAUGUCUCUUUCUGACCUAAUUUAAGUUCAAAGCCUCAAUUAACAAAGUAUUAUGCCUAUUAAAGUCUAUUCUUAAAAUGCCAUUUAGUAGGUCAAACACAAAAGAUGAAAGGAGGAAAGGGGGUCCAAUGGAAAGUGUAAUAAUUCGAAGACAUUCCUAUUUUGUCUUUUUCUGGCUUUGUUCAUAAUCAGUAUUCAUUUUUUCCCCUUUCUCUAAUGAAGGUAGGACAAAAGACUAUAAAAAAGGUGUUUAUGAUGCUUCUGUUGGCAAUGUUUUGAACAAGAACAUAUAUCUUUAUACAGGAUGGAAAAGGAUGUAGUGGUAAUUGCAUUUUAGCACAACAGACUACUAUCACUUAGUGGAAUCAAGUGGACUUGGCUCUCAAAAAUGCUCUCACCAUACUUUUGUGCCACCCUCCAUCUCCACUUCUAGAAAAAAAAAACUAUUCCACUGAUGUAGCCAAAAUCCAGCUCACCAACAUCAAGGCAAAACACUUUCUCAUGAAUCUGUCCUAAGGCACAUUCUUCCUUAAGUUCCAUACUAGAUACAUGCCCAUCAGGAAACUUUAAUACUGUGCAGGUACCUGAGCACAGACGUGUUGCCCAGAGAGGUUGUGGAGUCUCCCACAUGGAGAUCUUGAGUCAUCUGUACACGGUUGUGGUCAACCAGCUCCAGGUAGCCCUGCUAGAGAGGGGGGCUUAGACCAAACGACCUCUAGAGGUCUCUUCCAGCCUCACCCGUUCUGCGGUUAAUAACUGCUGUGCAAACAUAACUGGUUUGAAGGACCCAUAAAGCGUCUUGAAAACACACAAAACCAGAAUAUAUUUUUUAAUCGUUCCUUCAAACUGACAGCUUAUGUUGGACAACUGCUCCUUAUCUUCACUGCUGAAGCGAAAAGGAAUUUGAAACUGAAUACAGCUUUCUAGUGUCAGCCAAAGGUAGAAGGGCUAUGGAAAUUGAUUCUUCUUACACCAUUACAAAAUCAAGUAGUAUUCCCAAUAUGGAAAAAAAAAACUAUCUUUCAGCACUAGAAGAGAGGAAUAAAAAUGAGCUUUAGCAGCUAGGAAAUAAAAUGAAACUGACAAGAAAAGAAGAAAGCAUAUCAUUGCUUGUGACUAACACAAUAGCAGGAGUGAAAAGUCCACAUUCCCAUCUUCCUGUUUUUAUAUAUAUGAUACAUGUAUCAAGAAACAAUACACCAUGUGACUUCUCACCCAACAAAUUUAAAGCACUGUCAUCCACAAUGAGGUUGAACUGACACUUAUAUUAUGAUUCUGAUUGCUUGUGGAAUUUUGCAGUAUAUUUUUAAAAAUCCAAAUACAUUUUAAAUGCAUUUUUAAAUGCAGGGGAAGCGUAUUUCAGAAGUCAGCCAAGUACAGACAGAAAAGUUCCCCCUCCAGGGUUAUUAUUAAUAUUUUUGCAGUUUAAUAAAAUGCUAUCAUAGUAAUUGGAAGCAAUACUUUGAACUUUUUGUAAUUCUCUGUUCAAAGGUCUCACACAUUUUAUGAAUAACAAGUAUCCUUCUCUGCUUCCAGACUCAAGUAUAAGAGGCAAGUAGGUAAUGACAUAUUUUGCUAUUUGCACAAUAGAUAAAUAUCCCAACCCUUCAUCUCACAGAACACAGAAAAAUGAAUACCUGUGAAGCAACCAAAACUAUUAGAUCAAAAACACAGCUGAAAUAAGUGCAUUCACAUUAGGUAUGGUAAACAAUCAGCAGAUCAACUUUUCAUCAUACAUUAGAAAAGAGUGAGAAAAUAAAAUAUUUAGAACCUCAAUGCCAAGUUACAUAGAAUCUCUUAAGAAACAGUGUGUGAUCAUGUUAUCAAUUGUAAGUCUGGCAUUUCUAAAUUCUAAGUAACCUAGUAUUAUUUGAAUGUAAUUUUCUACAUGUCAUUUCUUACAUUUGAACACAAAUAGAAAAAGAAACAGUGAAAUUUCAUACUGUCAAUCAUGUGAGUCUUCUGGCAUAUUUCAAACUAGCAUACAGAAUUUUGUCACAUGUAUUAAUUAAAUAAGUGUUGCUGUUUGUCAUUACAUUUGUGAAAGAGAACUAAAUGAAAUACACUUCAACCCCUGGAUUUAAAUGUAUUUGCUGAGAGAAAAGAAACAGGCGCAAGGGAGAAACUUGCAUCCAGUUCCAAGCUUCAUACAUAAAUAAUAACUAGUGAGCUUAGUCGUCUUCUUAUUCCUCCUUCCUACUCCCAUACUUCUUAAUGAAAUUAAAAAACUUAGCAGGAAACAGAAAUACAGGAUAGUAAACUUCAUCCCAAUAAUGAAGUUUGGAAAAUUAAGAAGAAAUUGCAAAUGGGCAUCUUGCCUCUCUCUUUCUGCAGAGCUAUAACAAUAGAUGAUGUUUCCCUCACACACAAAAUAUUAAGAAAGUUGUGUGGGAGGGUUAAAGAGGAAAGAGUAAUUGCUGCUGUUAACAUCUGAAUUUCUUUGAAUUACAAACUAGAACGAAUGUUCUCUGUGAUGGCUAAGUGAACAAAAGGACUCCGAGUCAAGGUACACAAAAAUACAUGGAAAGAGUAACUUAAAAACGCUGAUUAGAGUUAUGUAACAAAACAGCAUUUUAUUUUCAAAAAAAUCCUCUUAAGUGGACUGAAUCUAAACCAUUGGCUAAGAAGUUGAACCAAACAAGGGAAAUUAAUACGCUUCACUUCAACUUUACAGGGAAAAUUGUGGCAACAUAUUUUAAUCUAUUAUUUACUCACUAAUAUCCAAAAGCCACUUUUUUCAUACCUGCUUUCUUAAGGUCUUUUUCUUUGAUUUUCAGUUUCAGUCAGGGUAAAUUCGAACUGAUAGAAAAUGACAAUUCACUAUGAGUCUAUGAAAGUAUCAUUACCUAUAAGUGUAUUAUUGAUGCUUAAAAGAUCAAACUACUUAAAUGUUUUACAGGUAAUAUCUCUGAUAGUUAUCCUGCUUAAAUUAAAAGAUGUGAAAUAGCAGGCCCAUAAUUUCUAACUUCCUUACAGUUGAGUACCUCAGUUGCAGAAUAAUCCCUGUAAUUAUCCUCUAUGUUCAAAAAUUACAUAAUUAGUAAAAUCUUUUACAAUUUGUCCAGUUCUAUUUGAGCAGAAAUUCCUUUAUAAUAUAUAACUGAAUCUCUAAAAUUACAAAUAAUCAUACCUUACAAGAAGGGUAAAUAACCAAAGUGAAGAUAACAGAUGAAGCUAGUGCUACAUUGUAAAUGUCUGGUAAGUAAGGAGUGCACCAUUUCUGUGUCUAAAGCUCAGGUGAGCAAAAAGAAUUUGCACCUCUGAAAAGGAAAGAGAAAUGAAGAGCUGCACUAAGACAAAGGUAGUUUGGCUAAGAUUGUUGUUGGAAACCACAUUAUCCAUCUUACUGUUCUAUUUCUAGGUAGAAGAGUAAGAGUAAAAGGGUAAAAUUUGAUUUGUUUCAUACAUAAGCCACUAUUCUGAAAUACUUACAAAUAACUGCAUAUAAAAAAGCCUGUAGAUACUGGGACCAUUACACAUACAAACACAAACCACUUAUCAGCAUUCCAUCCUCACUUCAAAACCACCAGUUUCAACACUUAAAACAAGUCUUUUCCACUGUUUCACUGAUUCUCUCUCCAUGUUUUGACUGAAAUCUCUUCUUACUUCCUGAGGCUCUAAAUUACUUUAUUCAUUAUUCAUCUCAGAGAUGGUACUAAGGCAAAAUCCAUACAACAUAUAUUGACUGGAGGGAUUCAACUAAAAAAGUAAUCUGUAUGGCAAAUAGUCAGUUAAAAAGACUUCUAAAAUAAGUAGGCUUAAAAGUGACAUAAAAGAAACCAUAACAAUUUAUUUCUUCACUUUCAUAGAGAGGAUCUCAAAACAUACUUUUGCAAACAAGUAUCAGACCACUCCACUACUGAAGAUUUAGAGGGAAACUAAAGCACUCACUGGGAAAGCAAUUUGCUUGCAGCUGCACCUCAGCUAAAUGAGAGCAGAACCCAGAAUGUACGAUACUCUCUUCACACAUUUCUGUCCUUUGCUAAUACACAAGUCAAAUAAAUCAAAUACCUAAAGAGAUCCUGCUCUUUCCAGUGCUCCUAGCAUAAAUCCUACUUUUUUAGUCCUUUGAGUAACAGUUUCUCACUGUAUUGUAUGUACCCCUUAAACUUCUAUUCCCUUUUUGGUUUAAAACAUCACUGUCAUCUGCAUCACUCAUAUGUGACAGAACACAUUAUCUACACCAAGUAACAUCAGUUUGAGUUGUAACUCCUAAUCAGGACUAGUUACUCUAUUGUGACACAACAAUUUUGUUUAAUUACAAAAAUUGCCACAAGAUUACUUUUGGAAGUAAUUUAUUCAGCUGUCUGCCUAUUAAUAAUGGUUAAGAAAUAACUUUCUAUGUAGACCUGAGAGUGAGGGCUGGAGUUGAUCUAGACAGCAGCACCUCUAUAGUAGUUCAAAAUUAGUUUUCUGCUCUUUUAGAAGCUCUAAUAGAAACAUAUUUAGAAACAUAUCCCACAGAUGUUAUGAAUGAAGUAUCAUAAGAGCCAUGGUUCAAUUACAACAUGUAGUAACACUACUAACAUAACUGAAGUUAAAAGGUUACCUUCAGGUCUGUUAGAAGAUCAUUCUGCUGUAUGCAUUCUGAAUAAAUUAAUCCUCAACUUCAUCAUAAAACAACUGCUCUGACUCUCAAUUUAUCCAAACAACAUGAGCAAUUAGAGUAGAACUAUAAUCUCACAGUAACCUAGCCCUUUUCUUUCUUGAUGUCACAUACCAAAGAGGAAACAACCAACUAGCUGAAGCGUAUUUAUACUUUUUGACAAAUAGCCCAUCCUAACGUAGAGCGGGGUAUAUGCAGUAGUGGAAAACACCUGUGUUAGAACUCUAAGUGGCCACUGAUGAGUCCUGAUUAUCCUCACCUGGGUUACCCUCCACCCCAGCCCUAUAGUGAUUGGUCAAGGCACCCUAUUUAAGUUAAUGUCUAGGCAGCUUGACCUUUCCUAAAGUACACCAGUUACGUACCUAGAAUCAGUUCUAUCUCCUACUAACUCAGUAUACUACUGAGUCUCUGAGAUGAGCUUAAAAUAAGUAAUUUAUGUCAUAUACUAUCUACUGAAUGGAUCUUAGAUUUAGUUUCUUACCUUGUUUAAAUCUUCUGAUGGUAACUGUUGCUGCUACCAGCCUCACCCUGUUCAGGUGUUGUGGGAAUGUACCCUGCCUGAGGAGGACCCAGCCUCUUUUCAAGCUGCUGAAAACCCCUUGCCUGUGGUUCAUCUCAAGGUAAAGCCUGAAAUUAAAAUGUGAAGCAUUAGCUGAAUUACUGUGGUCUUGCAAAGUAAGUUCAGGCUCUCUCGCUAUUGUAUAGCAUCUUUUCUUUUUUAAAAACUUUUGCUUGAGGUGACUUUGUCACUUGUGUGACAAAACACUUAAAAUCAUAGAUUAAGUUGAGUUGGAAGGAACUUUUAGAGGCUAUCUAGUC
rnacentral:lncRNA from 1 species